rnacentral:hammerhead_ribozyme from 1 species
AUCCAGUUGACGAGUCCCAAGCAGAGGACGAAAUACGUAUCCUGGAU